AACGAACGCUGGCGGCAUGCCUAACACAUGCAAGUCGAACGAGACCUUCGGGUCUAGUGGCGCACGGGUGCGUAACGCGUGGGAAUCUGCCCUUGGGUUCGGAAUAACAGUUAGAAAUGACUGCUAAUACCGGAUAAUGUCUUCGGACCAAAGAUUUAUCGCCCAGGGAUGAGCCCGCGUAGGAUUAGCUAGUUGGUGAGGUAAAGGCUCACCAAGGCGACGAUCCUUAGCUGGUCUGAGAGGAUGAUCAGCCACACUGGGACUGAGACACGGCCCAGACUCCUACGGGAGCAGCAGUGGGGAAUAUUGGACAAUGGGCGAAAGCCUGAUCCAGCAAGUGCCGCGUGAGUGAUGAAGGCC
rnacentral:rRNA from 1 species